GUCGAGCGGUAACAGAAAGUAGCUUGCUACUUUGCUGACGAGCGGCGGACGGGUGAGUAAUGCCUGGGAAUAUGCCUUGAUGUGGGGGAUAACUAUUGGAAACGAUAGCUAAUACCGCAUAAUGUCUUCGGACCAAAGAGGGGGAUCUUCGGACCUCUCGCGUCAAGAUUAGCCCAGGUGAGAUUAGCUAGUUGGUGGGGUAAGAGCUCACCAAGGCGACGAUCUCUAGCUGGUCUGAGAGGAUGAUCAGCCACACUGGAACUGAGACACGGUCCAGACUCCUACGGGAGGCAGCAGUGGGGAAUAUUGCACAAUGGGCGAAAGCCUGAUGCAGCCAUGCCGCGUGUAUGAAGAAGGCCUUCGGGUUGUAAAGUACUUUCAGUCGUGAGGAAGGGUGUGCAGUUAAUAGCUGCAUAUCUUGACGUUAGCGACAGAAGAAGCACCGGCUAACUCCGUGCCAGCAGCCGCGGUAAUACGGAGGGUGCGAGCGUUAAUCGGAAUUACUGGGCGUAAAGCGCAUGCAGGUGGUUCAUUAAGUCAGAUGUGAGAGCCCGGGGCUCAACCUCGGAACCGCAUU
rnacentral:rRNA from 1 species